AAAGCUAAGGUAGAGCAAGAUCCAAUAUCAGCACAAAUAUACACACACAAAAAUGAAACCAACAAAAAAAAACACCUGACAAUUCAGCUGUUUAGCUCAAAGAAAACUUGUUUCAAAAUUUUAAUAAGGAAUAUUAUUUUUAAAGUAUUGUUAUGGCUAAGUGAACAUAUUAAUAAGUUCAGAGACAACAUUUUCUGAUCACAGUAAUCAUCAUUUAACUAAUAUAAAAGGUUAGGUCAAUGUUAGCAGUUCUUUAGUAAAGCAAUUCUAUUGUUGUCAUCUAUAUUAUCAAAGCCUUGCUGCCUCACUUUCCCUUUAAAUAAUGACAUUUUUUUUCAAUCAUCAAAAUAAAGUUCUAGCCUAUAUGCAAAGAUGUAAAAGGUCUAACCUAUUUGCAAAGCAUCAUGAAAAGCACUUUUCUAUGUUACUAAGAUACACUUUGAACAUUUAAAUAAUUAUCUAGCUAUUCAGAACUCUUAUGUCUCCUACAAAAAUUAAGUUUCUCAGCAGCAUUGCAGUAGGCAUAACUUUAGGUUUCUUAAAGGCUACCUGACAUAAAAAACAAUUGUAUCUAAGCAGUCUUACAAGCCCAUAUUGCAGACAAUGCUGGGAGUAUGUCAGAGCAGGAGAGCCACAAAGGUUAGCUCUGCUGUGAGGAUCAGACAAAAGACCAAAGCCAGGUCAUUCUCUAAAACUGUGGCUAGAUUUCUAACACAAUAUUAAAACAUGGGAUUAGAGAACAAAGAAAAGGAAUGACUUUGAGACACAGAGAAGAGCUUAGGCAGAAUUCAAGGUCUUGAGACGGUAAGACUAAGGGUGUAAUAUUAAUGUUGAUAGAAAUAAUUGGCAACUCAUACUAGAUUUGUGGGUAGAAAAAGAAAAAGUUAAAAUAAAAUUUUAAAAAACACUUCUCAAUUUCC